GUUACAUGCAGAAACAAUGGUUACGAAAUCUCUUCUGUUAACAAAAGGAAAACUGUUUUCCUUUCAGUUGCUGUGUGCAGCCUCUCAAAGACAGCUAUUGCUCAGUUUGAAAGGGACCCUUCAGAAGACUAAGCAUGGCCACUGCCCGCCACUGCAACCAAAGGACGUCAGGAAUUACAUAGGGAGUGAUUUCGUUGUUGUCGAUUCCUCUUUUAAUAUCUCAUUGUUACCAAUUUGUCUGGAAGAAAGGAGAAUAUGGAAGAAAGAGCAAGGGUUUUGGUUUGAACAUAUCCUUCUGAAGGUAGGAGUCAGCAAGCAAAAGGGUCUCAGGAAAUAUUGAUGCAACAGAAAAUGGAUGUAACCCUCAUCAUAAAUUGCGGGUGCCAAUUUGGAUGCAAACUCAGGCCAGGAAUUCAUGUGGUCCUUGAACUCCAAACCUAUGGCAGGUGUCUGUCCAUCAGUGCACUGAGGGACACCAAGAUGCCCACACUGUGGAACCAAAGCUGGGUUGGAAACCUAGGGUUCCUCUUUCCAGUGCUAACCCACAAAGGGUUUCGAAGAAGUCAGUAAGUAACCAGCCCAGCAGCACAGACAUUUACAAGCGUUUGAUCUCCAAUACCAUGCAAAGGAAAAGUACUGGGUUUGAACAUGCCUCCUGCUGUGAGAGUCACGGAUAUAUUUUGAACCUCAGCUGCAUGCACUGCAGCAGAUGAGGUGCAAUGAUGGUCCCUAUCAGUUUAGCUUGCCUGACUUACAGAGAAGCAAGGCAGGUCAGGAUCCAGCUCUGCCACAGAGCAAGGAUGCCACACUGGAGAAACAGCUGGUUCCUCUGCACUGCCAGCACCGCUCUGAGUCCAUGAGAAAGACACGGGAGAUGACUGUGCACCAAAGGAGGAAUGGAAAACCCUUGGGCAAAUGUACUGAUCUAACCCCAUUUCUACACUGAACGUGGAGAAGACAUGGACUACAACAUGCAGCUCCUCAGUGCCUCCUCCAACCAGCUCAGACUUAGCAAACCAACAGUAGGGGCUGUUGCCCAGCAGGCACACAUGAUUGUAAAAUGGCUAUGUGGCUAAACUGCAUGGUUUUCAGAAAAUCAGCAGGCUGCAGAUAGGUUUAAGCAGCUGACAUUCCCCAUACUAGACCAUUAACUUGCAAGAUUAUUCCAGUGCUUUGUGCCCUCCCUCUGUCUGGCAAAGAUGUAAUUUUUCAUGUUUUGAACUAAAAAUGUGCAGCAAUUUGUGAAAGAAAAUCACUCAAACAUCCAUGGGACAAAAAUGUAAGGAAAGCAAACAAGAUGGAGCACAGUGAAGGUCAAAACCCUCUGCAGCAGCAGUGUACAAAAUCCCCAGCAGCCAGACUGCAAGCAACCACAAGUUCUAGCUCUGGAUUAU
rnacentral:lncRNA from 1 species